UCCCCGGUGGCUCAGACGGUAAAGCGUCUGCCUGCAAUGCGGGAGACCCAGGUUCGAUUCCUGGGUCAGGAA
rnacentral:tRNA from 1 species